AACUUGGACAAUGGGCGAAAGCCUGAUCCAGCCAUGCCGCGUGUGUGAAGAAGGUCUUCGGAUUGUAAAGCACUUUAAGUUGGGAGGAAGGGCAGUAAAUUAAUACUUUGCUGUUUUGACGUUACCGACAGAAUAAGCACCGGCUAACUCUGUGCCAGCAGCCGCGGUAAUA
rnacentral:rRNA from 1 species